rnacentral:lncRNA from 10 species
CUCCACUACUCCAUGUUCCUUAAGGCUGGGUCUGUAUUUAUCUAUCUCUUUUCCUCACACUGCCCAGCACAGUGCUUUUGCACAUAACCUAAGUGAAUGGUUUUGAAUGAAUACAUAAUACUUGAUCUUAUAACACCUCCUGUGUUAACAUCAAAACAUGAAAUCUGGCGAAAUGUAUUCUGAACAACCCAGGUGUCCAUAACAUGAUGAAUGGGGAAACAAAAUCUGGUAUAUCCAUGUAAUGGAAUACUGUUCAGCCAGAAAAAGGAAUGAAGUACUUGAUACAUGCUGUACCAUGAAUGAAUUCUGAGAACAUAAGCUAAGUGAAGGAAGCCAGAUACAAAAAUCCACAUGUUGUAUGAUUCCAUUCAAUUUAUAUAAAACAUCUAGACUAGGCAAAUCCAUAGAGAUAGAAGUUGAUCAGUAGUAGCCAGGGGCUGUGGGGAGAUAGGAAUGGGAAAUGACUGCUAAUGAGUAUGGGGUUUUCUUUCGGCAGGGGAGGUGAUG